rnacentral:rRNA from 1 species
CCUACGGGUGGCAGCAGUGAGGAAUAUUGGUCAAUGGACGCAAGUCUGAACCAGCCAUGCCGCGUGCAGGAAGACGGCUCUCUGAGUUGUAAACUGCUUUUGUACGAGGGUAAACGCAGAUACGCGUAUCUUUCUGAACUGAUCGUACGAAUAAGGAACGGCUAACGCCGUGCAAGCAGCCGCGGGAAGAAGGAGGAUUCAAGCGUUAUCCUGAUUUAUUGGGUUGAAAGGGUGCGUAGGCGGUCGUAUAAGUUAGAGGUGAAAUCCCGGGGCUCAACUUCGGAAUUGCGUCUGAUACUGUUCGGCUAGAGAGUAGUAGCGGUAGGCGGAAUGUAUGGUGUAGCGGUGAAAUGCGUAGAGAUCAUACAGAACACCGAUUGCGAAGGCAGCUUACCAAGCUACUUCUGACGUUGAGGCACGAAAGCGUGGGGAGCAAACAGGAUUAGAUACCCUUGUAGUC